AUGCCCAGAUCAGAGCGGCACAAACACCAUAGCACGGAUCUGCUUCCAACGUCUGGAGAGGACGCUGGUUCUUGCGGCAUCAGAGACAUCAAGUCGCUGGAUGAUGUUGAGCAAAACUUCAUCAGGCAACUUGCUGAGCCAAUCAUCUUGGUUGUCCUCCUACAUUUGACAUGGAAACAAAUCAGAGUUGAAUUCUUAUUAAGCCUCAGCACAGGUGCAAUUUGGUUAUUUUCCACAAACAUAGAUACAAGCUGCAUACUUUUUCCACAGAAAGACACGAUUUUGUUAUUUUUCCACAAACAAAGAUACAAGUUGCAUACUUUUUCCAAACAAGAAGGUCAGCUCGCUUCUGCUCAAACAGAACAAACAUUCUGGGCUCAGGUCCCUGUCCCUUCGGAUGUGCGGAUGGUGAAACGGUGCCUCCUCACCUGA
rnacentral:rRNA from 1 species